UGGACACUGUGCGCUGUGCAAACACAUCUGUGAACAAAACACAGAAACCUCUAUCCUUGUGGAAGCAGGUUCUGGAACAGCCAGUGAAGUGUGUCAACAUGGGAAAGAAAGAGAAUAGACUUGCACCAGGGGAUGGAGAAGAAGAGCUGGAAGGAUCAAGUGGAGAGGGAAGGUUAGCAGGUCACAACGUCUUCGAGUCACUUUCAGUCCACAAGCGUUAAAGAAGACAACACCCGGAGUUGGUAAGCUCUAGCUCUCCAACUCCAUAAAG